rnacentral:rRNA from 1 species
GACGAACGCUGGCGGCGUGCUUAACACAUGCAAGUCGAACGGAAAGGCCCUGCUUUUGUGGGGUUCUCGAUUGGCGAACGGGUGAGUAACACGUGAGUAAACUGCCCUUGACUUUGGGAUAACUUCAGGAAACUGGGGCGAAUACCGGAUAUGAGCUCCUGCUGCAUGGUGGGGGUUGGAAAGUUUCGGCGGUUGGGGAUGGACUCGCGGCUUAUCAGCUGGUUGGUGGGGUAGUGGCUUACCAAGGCUUUGACGGGUAGCCGGCCUGAGAGGGUGACCGGCCACAUUGGGACUGAGAUACGGCCCAGACUCCUACGGGCCGCAGCAGUGGAGAAUAUUGCGCAAUGGGCGGAAGCCUGAUGCAGCAACGCCGCGUGCGGGAUGACGGCUUUCGGGUUGUAAACAGAUUUCGACUGUGACGAAGCGUGCGUGACGGUAAUGGGUCAAGAAGCACCGGCUAACUACGUG